UACGUAGGGUGCAAGCGUUAAUCGGAAUUACUGGGCGUAAAGCGUGCGCAGGCGGUUGUGCAAGACAGAUGUGAAAUCCCCGGGCUCAACCUGGGAAUUGCAUUUGUGACUGCACGGCUAGAGUGUGUCAGAGGGGGGUAGGAAUUCCAACGUGUAGCAGUGAAAUGGCGUAGAGAUGAUGGAGGAAUACCGAGUGGCGAAGGCAGCCCC
rnacentral:rRNA from 1 species